rnacentral:lncRNA from 1 species
ACAAAGAGAAGGAAAAAAAAGUAACCGUUGCCACGGGUUACUAAGAAGCGUGUGCGCGCGCAACUUGGUAACGGCGGAUGGAUGGAUAGAUAAAUACGGCUGAGCCCUUUGGAUCCGGCGGUAGCUUACGCCACCUAGCCACAAAAACGUCGGGAAAGUGGAUCGCGCUGCCUGGUGGAGGGCAGACACACCACUCGCCUCGGCUAGUGUGUCUGCCCUCCGCCAGGAGGCACUCAAUUUUAUUUUGAACUAUUUAUUAAGGGAAGCAUUCUCGUUGAUCUCCCUUCAUUAAUACUGGUCGUAUCUCAUCACCGCUGGCACCGAUGUGUUCCUUGUUCUUUCUAGACUCUAUGGACACCACUUUGAACCUCGAGCGAGUUGCACGGCUGGCCCUCCGUUUCAAGAAACCAAUGGCCUCCUGACCCGAGUCUUCUUCAGCUGCGGAUGACCGCUUCAAUGGAAACACCGAUUGUGACAACUCUCUGCGAGCAACAUGUGUGUUCACCUGUGCUUCAUCAAAGACCGCGGGAUGGGAAACACCGAUUGUGACAACUCUCUGCGAGCAACAUAUGUGUGAAAUCGUGCUAGCUAGCUCCUAG